UACAGAGGUCUCGAGCGUUAGGCGGAAUCACUGGGCUUAAAGCGUGUGUAGGCGGAUCGGUAAGUACCUUGUGAAAUCCCCACAGCUUAACUGUGGAACUGCUUGGUAUACUGCCAGUCUUGAGCCAGCUAGGGGCUACCGGAACAAAUGGUGGAGCGGUGAAAUGCGUAGAUAUCGAGAGGAACACCUGCGGCGAAGGCGGGUUGCUGGGCUGACACUGACGCUGAUGCGCGAAAGCCAGGGGAGCGAACGGG
rnacentral:rRNA from 1 species